AAUAUUUUUAUAUACAUUCCCCAUUUUUCCCCUUAGAACCAAACAGGAGAGAUCAGACUCACCGACAUCAUCACAUCUGUCUCUAAAGAGUGGGAGAUCAAUUCCAUUACCAAUGAACUUCAGUGAUGAAGAACAGAGAAAUAAAGAAAGAACCAAACAGGAGAGAUCAGACUCACCGACAUCAUCAUAUCUGUCUUUGAGAAGUGGGAGAUCGAUUCCAUUACCAAUGAACUUCAGCAGUGAAGCACAGAGAAAUAAAGAAAGAAAGCUGUGUGUGGAAGACACAGAAGAGCAGACAGAGUCCACACCUGCUAAAGGAGUCUGUCAGCGGCACCACAGAGAUCUGGAAGUGUUCUGUAAGACAGAUAACAUGCACAUCUGUGCCAAAUGUGUGGGCCAAGAGCACCAAGGACACAGUAAAAUCUAUACUGUGAAACCUAAUGUGCCAG
rnacentral:lncRNA from 1 species